UUAGCCCUAAACCCAGAUAAUUUUUUAAACAAAAUUAUUCGCCAGAGUACUACUAGCAAUAGCCUGAAACUCAAAGGACUUGGCGGUGCUUCAUAUCCCUCUAGAGGAGCCUGUCCUAUAAACGAUAAACCCCGAUAGACCUUACCAACCCUAGCUAAUACAGCCUAUAUACCGCCAUCCUCAGCAAACCCUGAUAAAGGAAAUAUAGUAAGCAAGAUUGUUAAAAUACAAAAACGUUAGGUCAAGGUGUAGCUUAUGAGUUGGAAAGAGAUGGGCUACAUUUUCUCAAAACAGAAAAAAAACGAACAUUCUUAUGAUAUUAAGAGUUAAAGGAGGAUUUAGUAGUAAGCUAAGAAUAGAGAGCUUGGCUGAAUUAGGCCCUGAAGCACGC
rnacentral:rRNA from 2 species